UCUCCUGUAGCUCAGUGGUAGAGCGUCCGAUCGGUGUGCGGAAGGUUCAACUCCUGUUGGGGGAA